UACGUAGGGUGCGAGCGUUAAUCGGAAUUACUGGGCGUAAAGCGUGCGCAGGCGGUUGUGCAAGACAGAUGUGAAAUCCCCGGGCUCAACCUGGGAAUUGCAUUUGUGACUGCACGGCUAGAGUGUGUCAGAGGGGGGUAGAAUUCCACGUGUAGCAGUGAAAUGCGUAGAGAUGUGGAGGAAUACCGAUGGCGAAGGCAGCCCCCUGGGCCAAUACUGACGCUCAUGCACGAAAGCGUGGGGAGCAAACAGG
rnacentral:rRNA from 1 species